GGACCAAGGAGUCUAGCAUGUGCGCGAGUCAUUGGGAAGCGAGACUAAACCUAAAGGCGCAGUGAAAGCGAAGGUGUCGUCUUCGACACCGUGGGAGGACGGGCGGCGGCCGCUUCGCGGCGUACGCCGCCCCGCACUCCCGGGGCGUCUCGCACUCAUCGCGAGGCGAGGCGCACCGCGAGCGUACACGCUGGGACCCGAAAGAUGGUGAACUAUGCCUGGUCAGGACGAAGUCAGGGGAAACCCUGAUGGAGGUCCGUAGCGAUUCUGACGUGCAAAUCGAUCGUCGGAACUGGGUAUAGGGGCGAAAGACUAAUCGAACCAUCUAGUAGCUGGUUCCCUCCGAAGUUUCCCUCAGGAUAGCUGGCGCUCGGGCGAAAAAUUUAUUCUCGAAUUAAACGCACGAGUCUCAUCCGGUAAAGCGAAUGAUUAGAGGCAUUGGGGUCGAAACGGCCUCAACCUAUUCUCAAACUUUAAAUGGGUGAGAUCUCCGGCUUGCUUGAACCGUGAAGCCGGAGAUCGGAUCAACGGGCGCCAAGUGGGCCACUUUUGGUAAGCAGAACUGGCGCUGUGGGAUGAACCAAACGUCGAGUUAAAGCGCCAAAAUCGACGCUUAUGGGACACCAUGAAAGGCGUUGGUAACUUAAGACAGCAGGACGGUGGCCAUGGAAGUCGGA
rnacentral:rRNA from 1 species